AUAAGAACAGUAAUAAUAAUAGUAAUUUCUUUUUAUAGGUAUGCUUCAAAAAUAAACAGCAAAUUUUAAAAUGCUGAGCCUGUCCUUGGAACACAUCAUCUUAAGUCAGCUUAGAAAUGACUAUAAGAACAAGAAGAACCAGAACAGCCUCUCUUAUUAGAGUUAAAGAUCUUCGACCUUUCAAGUCCAGAAAGAUGUAAUCUGAAGAGUAUGUAAUCUUAAAUCUAUUCAACAAUGUUAUUUAAUAAAAUAUUUUUUUGCAAAUAA